ensembl:snRNA U6 U6 spliceosomal RNA
GUACUCACUUUGGCAGCAAAUAUACUAAAAUUGGAAUGAUACAGAGAAGAUCUGCAGGGCCUGUGUGCAAGGAUGACACACAAAUUCAGGAAGCAUUCAAUAUUUUU